CACGGGGCGCAGCAGGCGCGAAACCUCCGCAAUGCACGCAAGUGCGACGGGGGAACCCCAAGUGCCACUCUUAACGGGGUGGCUCCUCGAGAAGUCUAAAAAGCUCUGAGUAAGAGCCUCUGC
rnacentral:rRNA from 1 species